UAGAGUACUCCCACCUAGUGAGGUCUGGAGAGGGUAAAAUGUACGCAGUCCAUACCACUACCUCCGAAGAAGUAAAGAGGCUAUUUUUGAUAGACCCCCGGCUCAAGACAAAAAGAAUAGUAAAUAAAGCCGUGAUAAAACAUGAGACAAAAUGAAAUAACAGAAAUACGGUACCCACAAAGUAGUACUAUAUACUAAUAAACCGCAAG
rnacentral:lncRNA from 1 species